rnacentral:siRNA from 1 species
GUAAACCAGCGGGUGCGAUAGUAA